UGGGGAAUUUUGGACAAUGGGCGAAAGCCUGAUCCAGCAAUGCCGCGUGUGUGAAGAAGGCCUUCGGGUUGUAAAGCACUUUUGUCCGGAAAGAAAUCCUUGGCUCUAAUGCAGUCGGGGGGAUGACGGUACCGGAAGAAUAAGCACCGGCCAAACUACGUGCCAGCAGCCGCGGUAAUACGUAGGGUGCAAGCGUUAAUCGGAAUUACUGGGCGUAAAGCGUGCGCAGGCGGUUUGCUAAGACCGAUGUGAAAUCCCCGGGCUCAACCUGGGAACUGCAUUGGUGACUGGCAGGCUAGAGUAUGGCAGAGGGGGGUAGAAUUCCACGUGUAGCAGUGAAAUGCGUAGAGAUGUGGAGGAAUACCGAUGGCGAAGGCAGCCCCCUGGGCCAAAUACUGACGCUCAUGCACGAAAGCGUGGGGGAGCAAAACAGGAUUAGAUACCCCUGGUAGUCCACGCCCUAAAACGAUGUCAACUAGUUGUUGGGGGAUUCAUUUCCUUAGUAACGUAGCUAACGCGUGAAGUUGACCGCCU
rnacentral:rRNA from 1 species